UACGUACCGUCCAAACGUUAUUCGGAAUUACUGGGCUUAAAGGGUAUGUAGGCGGCGCUGUUAGUCGGGUGUGAAAUCCCACGGCUCAACCGUGGAAUUGCGCCCGAUACUGCAGUGCUUGAGGGAGACAGAGGUAAGCGGAACUGAUGGUGGAGCGGUGAAAUGCGUUGAUAUCAUCAGGAACACCGGUGGCGAAAGCGGCUUACUGGGUCUCUUCUGACGCUGAGAUACGAAAGCUAGGGGAGCGAAGGGG
rnacentral:rRNA from 1 species